rnacentral:lncRNA from 1 species
GGGGUAUCUUAAAUUUAAUCUUACUGAAAGCAUCAUCAUUAUUGUGUACCUCGCGUCGGCGGUUGCCACCCAUACCUCUACGGUUGUGACGAAGGCGACGUCGAUCACGAGUGUCUUGAUCGUCAUGUUCAGUAUCACCAGUGUAGUCAUCUUCAUGACUACCGUGCUCUCGAUCUCCCUCCUUUUUCUUCUUUAUGCUUCUCUUUAUCUUCGGUGUGGAAAUCAUCAAAUCGCCUUAGGAGAGCAGCAAGGCUUUUGUCCACACUAGCAACGGAUUCCUCCAAACUUGUGAGCUUGUUGUUUGUGGCAAUCUGCGUAGCCUCCAACUGCCCCAGCUUUUCAUUUGUCACCUGCAAGUCGUUAUCAAGUCCCUCUGUGUGCAGCUUCACUUUCCUUUCAAAAUGUUGUAUGAUGCCCUUAGUGCGAGGUGUAAGUGGUGUUUUGUUACCACCAUCUGCCCCUGGCAUGGUUCAAAGACAAAGACAACAAAAAGGUAAGUGAAGAAAUAAAAGCCCUACAACUACUUGGAUGUAGCUACAGCAAGUCGCUCACACUCAACCUGUAAUACAAGUUCUUACCAAUUCUUACCUUGCUUGACAGGAGGGGUCGUCUGCCAACAAGUGUACAGCAAUGGACGAAGUGUAUCGGUGCUGCAGCACAAGACCUGUCAAGCUGUAGAGUAUGUGGAGCUAUAGGUGGGCUGAAACAAGGAACGAACUAGCACCACGUUAGUUAUAAAAGCGAGCUGAAUAAGCGUUCGACGAUGGUACUGUGCUGGUCCUAGGCUAGACCGUGCUAGAGACGCGAGCCUGGACACAAAGGAAAACCACAGCACACCCCCGAAAACAAGGUGGAAGAAACCUAAAAUCAAUAUGAAAAACAGCCCCUUUUUUUGAAUCUUUUUUCUUUUUUUUUCUUUUUUUUUGGGCAACCUCAAAAACUGAUUAUAUGAACAAAAGAAUACAAAAGAGCAAUUCUCUCUCUCUCUCUAGAGUAAGGCCGAACAAGUAUGGAGUUAUCCUUCUUUUUUUAUCACGUUGGUGGAACUCGGAUUGGAACUCUACUCGAUCCGGACCAAGACCACAGUUCAAUUCGGACUUCGCAACAGAUUCGACAGAGAGAAGAUAUGGUAAUACUCGGCUGUGUAUAGAUGGUGACAAGAACUCGAAACUCUAAAGGACUAGACACUAAGACCAGCAACUCGACACAAACCGAAGCAACGCAAAUUCAACAAGCCCUAACUAAAACGGUACUAGCCAAGGCACAAAGGUUUAAUAGGAUUAUGGAAAAACUAAUCUACUAUAUUUUUUUUGGCUUUUCUGGACUAUAGGAAAUUAAUUAAAAACAGCAAAGGAUUAGAAGUCUCUCACCGAAGAACCUUGCUCUGAUUACCAACUGAUGUGAACCCGCUAGGGUUUUUGCCUGAUCUUUUGAUGACAGACGGGGAUAACUCGAUUGGUGGAUGGAGAUGAUGUUCACGGCCCGACUACAGCCCUCAAGACCGCGCCUUAGCAACCGAUACACCACGUCCAACAGCCGUCACGAUCUUGUGGAGCGCGACAACCAGCCCCUAGGGCUCCCGUCCUGCAAG